rnacentral:lncRNA from 1 species
UUUGCAAAGUAAGAGGUCUGGGAAUAAAAGAUGUUGCUUCGUAUUUGGGAAAUACAGUUUAUUUUACAUUGCUGUAAUAGGAUUAGAAACUAUGAAACAUUAUCCGAUAGUAACUUUUUAAAAAACUCACCGACUGCUUAAAAACUAAAAGUUGAACUACUGAAACUCAGGAUUUCCAGAGCAAUUACAAACUAUAAACAGAAGGAUAAACCUGAUCCUAAUUGUGUAGUCACUAUUAAGAUUCCAUCAAAAGCGAACAAGAAGCACAAGAUAAACCUGGAAUUUCCCAUGCCACGUUUUUUGUUUUAUCAUCCAGAGGACGCUUGCUAUCACUAGAACCCCUCCCUAUUCAAAAUUUACACACAAACCUGGAUGAGAUCAAGGAUUAACUUAUUUUACCUAAAUCUCUUGCUUUGAAUGCAGCUGCCCUUUGAUGAAUACUUUUGUGAAAACCAUGCUCAGUGAGUAUCUAUUGUGUUUUGAUUAAUAUUGCAGUUCAAACUCUUUUGAAACAGGAUGUCCUUAUAUGAAGGCUCAUUAUUCUGACACCCACAUGACUGUCUCCACUUAUAGUUUAUUCUAAAAGCUUCAACCCUGCUCAGAAUGUAGGGAUUUUGUUUGAACCCAGGAUUUUCAAAGUUGGGAGAGAAUCCAUGAAAUGAUCCCUCGUUCCUGUAAAUGUACACACAUGGGUGUGCCUGCCUACACCAUCAGAGCAUCACACACACACACCCUGCACACACAUCACCACACACACCCUCUAUGCUAAAUCUGCCUUCAAUUAACCAAAAGCACAAUUUUGCCCUGACAGAGAAGAUUUCAUUUGGUCCACAUAUGACUAGGGAGCCGAUUUCAUUUCCUGUAAAAAACCCCCUCAAACGCUGCAAAGUUACCUGACUCAGCUGCUUGUAGAAAUCAAAUUCAGUCAGAGAUAACAGCUAAUCAUUUGUCACAGUAAGAAGCAAUUCCCUGAAAUCGGAAGGGAAAACCUGCCGCUUCAAUCCGCAGGUCUGUCAGAUUGCUAGAAAUUACAUUCUGCUCUGACUAACCUCUGCACUUGGAUUGCUAACAACAAGCAGCCUGCUCUAUCAAAAGAGAAUAUCAUACAACCAGGAACCGCUUUUGAUUCGUUCUGUUCCAAUAACCUGAGAAAAGUUUAUGGACAUGCCUUGCUGCCUGGACCUCAAUUUCCACCAACCUGCACACUGUUUUGAAUUUAUAGCACUGCAGCUCCAUAGUAAUGUAGGUAAAAUUUACAAGCUGACUAUCUGCUACUUCAUUGAAAGAAAAUUAAGAGUUGAUUUUAUAACCACACGACUGAUAUUUGCCUUCUGAUACUUUGAGGAAGCAUACGGUUUGGAAGCUUCAAUUAAAAUGCCAAAAGAGAAAAAACAAAUUGAUUAACUCUCAAAAUACAAUUUAUAUUUUUUAGAAAUGCUUCCCGGGAGGGAAUUAACUUUAUACUCUUCUAUGUAAACACUAUUUGUGCAGCAUAAGUUUAAUAAAAAUGAUACAUCACCUCUCUGUUAGGUUUAUAAUUUGCAUAGCAAUAGUGAAUAUGGAAUUUUGGUCAAAAUGUUUCUCUCGUCUCUCUCUCUUUCUCUUUCUCUCCCUCCCCACAUCUCUCCUGCAAUAGUACAGGAUCGUUGGAAAUGGGUAAGUUUAAUAUCUUUCCUAAUCCCAAGAAGCCAUUAUUAUUACUUAAAGUAUAUCUCAAGGUAGGUUAUUAACCCCCAAGAAGUUACAGCUUUGAGUUAGAAUCACAUAAUCUUAAAAAAGGACAACAUAUUUUCCAAGCAGUACUUAACCAAAUACUCUUCUUUAACUCUGACUAGAUUUAUGAUGAAUACAGAUAUUGCAACUCUUAUAAGAACUUAAAGAUGGCGAACUCAGAGAUUCAGCAUUUAAGAAGGCUGCCUCUAAGACUAAGACUAAAUCCAUCCCAAGUUUGUUCCAUUGUUUUUUUUUUUUAAAGCAUUUUAUUUUCCACAGUUGGAAUCAGCUGAGGAUACAGUGUGAGCAGUGACUCUGAAUUUCCUUUGCUUUUGUCAAACUGUGUCACAACCAUAAAGUUAUUUUAACUGAGUUUAUUUGCCUAGGCAUUUCCUUUCUCUUGUAGUAGUGUAAGAGAAAGGAAAACAACCAUUUAAAAUGUAAGUACAGUUGAGUGGAUAUAAGGGACUCUUCCAGCUCCUAUCGUAAGCAGACAAUUCGAUGAUAAGUAUGUGGGCUUUUUAAGCUUUAAAAAAUAUUCAUAAAUCCCUUUUUGGAUUCUUUCAUUUCAAUUUUCUUCAAGCAAUGAGAAUUAGACAAGUUUAUAAAUUCUCAUUUCUACCUUUCUUGGGCCAGUCCUGAUUACUCUUAUCAUGGUUAAUACUGGUUCACAUGGGGGACUUCCACAAAUUCUUUAAUAUACUGUGUAUCUGGUGUAAAAAAAAUUAUGUAAAAUACAAUAAUUGAUGCUAUUAAUGUAUUUGGUGAGAUAAUCUAAUAGAUUUCCUUGAAGUAACUCUAAUAAAUUUUUCUUCCUUAGUAAAAACAACCCCUUGGUCUUAGAUUCUGCUCUUGUACAGUCAUCCGUACAGUGGCCAGGGCUUAAGCUCUGGUACUGUAUGAGUAUGCAAACAAGCAGAUUUCACAAUCAGAUGACACUGAGACUUAGGCUUACUGUGCCAGACUCUCUUUGGUGACUGUUCUCUCAUCUUGGGCCAGCCUAGGGAUCUGAGAACCUGCUGUAGUUAGAAAGAAGUCACCUGACCUCGAAGUUUCCCUCCUGUCUUUUCUCAAUCGUUCCAGCUCUCACACUCAAGAGUCAGAGCUCUCCACCACUGUCCUGGCCAGAGCAGCACCCCCCAAAGGUCUGCAUGUACCUCUGGCAAGAUAAAUGCAUAUAGAAGACAAUGCAUUUUUAGUCCCUAUAGACUUUCUAUAACGUCUACGUUUCCAGAAUCUCAUGUGUGCCUUAAAAACCCUUUUCUUCUACAUUUAAAAGGACAGUUUGAUUAUAUAAUAAUACCUGGAUUUAUGCAUUAAUCCACUGACAGCAGAGCCCGUUAAUAGACAUUUUUCCACUUGCUCCUCAUAACAAACCUUUGAAGGGGGGAGCAAUUAUUAUGAGGAUGAUUUUAUAGAUGAGUAAAUUGAAUCUCAGAAAUUUUAACUGACUUUUUCCCACAUCACCUCGUGUUAGAAUCUGGAUCUGAUUCCUGACUCCAGAAACUAUUUGUCUCUAGAUUCUAUCUGUGCUCUCUUCAUCACCUUGGGUGUACAAAUCUAAGUGAGCAAACAAAAGCCAAAAUAGGAUUUUUAACUAUUUAACAGAGUAUGGUGGUGUCAGUAUGAAAUCUUGUUCAUCUGGUUUAGUGGACAUAACUGUGCCUGGGCAGAAGAGAGAAGGAGGAGAGAAGAACAAAGGCAAGGUCAAGAGCAACUACACUGAAAUUGGGAGAAAAAGCAAGUUAGAUAUAAGGAAGAGGACCUGCUAGGAUGGUGCCUGGUCCAUGGUGGACAGUAACUGGUCUGUUUUGAAUGCAUGAAUUUUCAUCGUAGUUUUUGUGAUUGUGUUUAUGAAGACACUGGAGCAACAAUGUUCUGCAAUUCUAGAGAUCUUGAUGUGGUGGCAGCCUUGUAUCCAGUCCUAUGUGAGCUUCCUGCAGGGCAACUUUGGCAUAUUCUCAGCAAACACAGAGUUGUUGGAUUUCACAUAAGGAGACUGUUAUCAUUUGGUCCUUGACAACUUUCAUAAACAGUCACUCUUAGCUUAACAAGCAAGUGUGUAACAGUUAAAAUUGGAAGAAAAAUAAGGCCAAAAUGGCAGCUUACUACACAACUUGCAUGCAUUCUAAAAUAAAGGAAAUAUGAAUAAAAGGACAAAAAGAAAAUAAGGAUGUGUCUCAUUGCAAAGCCUGAAUCACUCUCACAUUUGAAGACCUUGAACACAAAUGCUUUAUUUCUG